ACAAGCAGCGGAGCGUGUGGUUUAAUUCGAUGCUACACGAAGAACCUUACCAGGGUUUGACAUGCAAGUGGUAGGAAACUGAAAGGGACGACCUUCGGGAGCUUGCACAGGUGCUGCAUGGCUGUCGUCAGCUCGUGUCGUGAGAUGUUCGGUUAAGUCCGCUAACGAGCGCAACCCUCACUGUGUGUUAUAUGUGUCACACGGGACUGCCGGUUUUAAGCCGGAGGAAGGUGGGAUGACGUCAAGUCAGCAUGGCCUUUAUAUCCUGGGCUACACACACGCUACAAUGGUCGGUACAAUAGGUUGCCAAGCCGCGAGGCGGAGCCAAUCCAAAAAAGCCGGCCUCAGUUCAGAUUGUAGGCUGCAACUCGCCUGCAUGAAGAUGGAGUUGCUAGUAACCGCAGGUCAGCAAUACUGCGGUGAAUACGUUCCCGGGUCUU
rnacentral:rRNA from 1 species